rnacentral:misc_RNA from 1 species
GUAUGGGCAUGGGAUGGUUCUUGUAAGUUCACAUUUAUUAUUUCUGCUCUCUAUUAGCUCUUGGACCAAACCUUGUUGUAUUUCAAUUACAAGGCUGAUGUAAUAUUUCUAUGUCAUUAUUGUCGAUGAUGAUGCAGAUGGAAUUGAUUGGGUGCACAGAUUGAUGUGUGUGUUUUUAAUUUAUUGGCGUGAUUAUUGUCCUUGCGCAUUUUGUGAUCAAAGUUGGUCUAGGAAUUAUUUAUCUGGAUUAUUUCAUUAAACCAAUGACAUUUGGAUGAGAGCUGUGAACAUGCUAGGUGAUUGCGUCAAGCAUUUAACCUGUUAUUAUUAGUAAGUUGAUAAUUGUAUAUGUACAUAUAGUUUUGAU